CUGUGUUCAUAUAUUCCCUCUUUCUGUCUCGCUCUCUUUUCUUUCUUUCUCUUUUACACAGUCAUCUACUUUCUCUAUCUCUAUCUCCCUUUCCCUUCCUCAAAGAGUGAAGUUGCACACGCUUUGCAAGAUGGGACGUUCGCGCUGCAGCCCAACGGUAAACACCUGUGCGUAUGCAAAUCAGAAAUCUUGAAAUCUUCCAUAAAGAAUCACCUUGCUUCUGCUAAACACAAGAUGGCUACAGAGAAGCUUCUCGAAGAGACAGAAAGGAAUAAAACGACGAUUACACCCUACGCCAUAACGUCAGAUAAGCCAGGUCAUGUUUACGUGUUUGACUACGACUUCAAAGGU